CAGCAGCCGCGGGAAUACGGAGGGUGCAAGCGUUAUCCGGAUUUAUUGAGUUUAAAGGGUCCGUAGGCGGACUUAUAAGUCAGUGGUGAAAGCCUGUCGCUUAACGAUAGAACUGCCAUUGAUACUGUAAGUCUUGAGUAUAUUUGAGGUAGCUGGAAUAAGUAGUGUAGCGGUGAAAUGCAUAGAUAUUACUUAGAACACCAAUUGCGAAGGCAGGUUACCAAGAUAUAACUGACGCUGAGGGACGAAAGCGUGGGUAGCGAACAGGAUUAGAUACCCCCGUAGUCCCUGUCUCUUAUAC
rnacentral:rRNA from 1 species